UACGAAGGGUGCAAGCGUUAAUCGGAUUUACUGGGCGUAAAGCGUGCGCAGGCGGCCCGUUAAGACAGGUGUGAAAUCCCUGGGCUCAACCUAGGAAUUGCGCUUGUGACUGGCGGGCUCGAGUACGGUAGAGGGGGGUGGAAUUCCUGGUGUAGCAGUGAAAUGCGUAGAGAUCAGGAGGAACACCGAUGGCGAAGGCAGCCCCCUGGGCCUGUACUGACGCUCAUGCACGAAAGCGUGGGGAGCAAACAGG
rnacentral:rRNA from 1 species